CGGGAUGUAGCGUAGUCUGGUUAGCGCGCCUGCUUUGGGAGCAGGAGGCCGUGAGUUCGAAUCUCACCAUCCCGACCA
rnacentral:tRNA from 1 species